CGUACUGUCCCCCUGCCAUCUCAUUUAGUGCUCUGUAAGUGAAUUCCAGCUAUACGGCAUAGAUAAUACUUGAAAAAAGCUUAGACGUCCGCAGGUGUGACAAAACAGUGUUUGAUAGCUGCAACAAGGUUAUGCGAGCGAGGUAGCAGCUAAGAGUGUCCGCUUAGAGUCUACAGUCAACCAAUUAUAAUGCAAACUAUAGGAUAGUGAGAUAACCAAAAGAAGAGAUUGUGCAGGC